rnacentral:rRNA from 1 species
UACGAAGGGUGCAAACGUUGCUCGGAAUUAUUGGGCGUAAAGCGCACGUAGGCGGCAUAGCAAGUCGAAUGUGAAAUCCCUCGGCUUAACCAAGGAAGUGCAUCCGAAACUGCUGUGCUUGAGUACGAAAGAGGAUCGCGGAAUUCCCGGUGUAGAGGUGAAAUUCGUAGAUAUCGGGAGGAACACCGGUGGCGAAGGCGGGUCUCUGGGCAAUAACUGACGCUGAGGAGCGAAAGCGUGGGGAGCGAACAGG